CAUUGUACGGACACAAUCAUCAAUAGGAUGUUGAUGACUAAGGAUAGACAAUGGACCCCUCAUAGGAUUGAGGCAGGACAGCAUCAGGACGAUGCAAUGGACACCGCUCAAGGAACAAGUGAAGUGCGCUAACGGGGAAUGUUGGCUAUCAGGAUUGAUAAGGACACCGCUAGGACGGCGACGAAGGACAGUACUGAUGGAUUCAGUCACUAUUAUGGAUGAUGCAUGGAGCAUUAUUUAGUAGCCGGACUGCUGCGAGUAAGAUCAUGACCCCGAUACUUUUGUGUCGGGGUUUUUCUUAUUU
rfam:Vibrio sp. EJY3 chromosome 1, complete sequence.